UGGGGAAUAUUGGGCAAUGGGCGCAAGCCUGACCCAGCAACGCCGCGUGAGGGAAGAAGGCUUUCGGGUUGUAAACCUCUGUCCUUGGUGACGAAACAAAUGACGGUAGCCAAGGAGGAAGCCCCGGCUAACUACGUGCCAGCAGCCGCGGUAAUACGUAGGGGGCGAGCGUUGUCCGGAAUUACUGGGCGUAAAGGGUGCGUAGGUGGCCUUUUAAGUUGGAUGUGAAAUACCCGGGCUUAACCUGGGGGGUGCAUCUAAUACUGGGAGGCUAGAGUGCAGGAGAGGAAAGCGGAAUUCCUAGUGUAGCGGUGAAAUGCGUAGAUAUUAGGAGGAACACCAGUGGCGAAGGCGGCUUUCUGGACUGUAACUGACACUGAGGCACGAAAGCGUGGGGAGCAAACAG
rnacentral:rRNA from 1 species